GACGAACGCUGGCGGCGUGCUUAACACAUGCAAGUCGAACGGAAAGGCCUCUUUCGGGGGGUACUCGAGUGGCGAACGGGUGAGUAACACGUGAGUAACCUGCCCUUGACUUUGGGAUAACUUCAGGAAACUGGGGCUAAUACCGGAUAGGAGCUCCUGCUGCAUGGUGGGGGUUGGAAAGUUUCGGCGGUUGGGGAUGGACUCGCGGCUUAUCAGCUUGUUGGUGGGGUAGUGGCUUACCAAGGCUUUGACGGGUAGCCGGCCUGAGAGGGUGAACGGCCACAUUGGGACUGAGAUACGGCCCAGACUCCUACGGGAGGCAGCAGUGGGGAAUAUUGCACAAUGGGUGGAAGCCUGAUGCAGCAACGCCGUGUGCGGGAUGACGGCCUUCGGGUUGUAAACCGCUUUCGCUCAGGACGAAGCUUUGUGUGACGGUAGUGGGUAAAGAAGCACCGGCUAACUACGUG
rnacentral:rRNA from 1 species